rnacentral:rRNA from 1 species
GACGAACGCUGGCGGCGUGCUUAACACAUGCAAGUCGAACGGAAAGGCCCUGCUUUUGUGGGGUGCUCGAGUGGCGAACGGGUGAGUAACACGUGAGUAACCUGCCCUUGACUUUGGGAUAACUUCAGGAAACUGGGGCUAAUACCGGAUAGGAGCUCCUGCUGCAUGGUGGGGGUUGGAAAGUUUCGGCGGUUGGGGAUGGACUCGCGGCUUAUCAGCUUGUUGGUGGGGUAGUGGCUUACCAAGGCUUUGACGGGUAGCCGGCCUGAGAGGGUGACCGGCCACAAUGGGACUGAGGUACGGGCCAGAAUCCUACGGGGGGCAGCAGUGGGGAAUAUUGCACAAUGGGCGGAAGCCUGAUGCAGCAACGCCGCGUGCGGGAUGACGGCCUUCGGGUUGUAAACCGCUUUCGCCUGUGACGAAGCGUGAGUGACGGUAAUGGGUAAAGAAGCACCGGCUAACUACGUG